CACUGAUUUUGUUAAAAGGCUCCAGAGACGCUCCCGGCAAUUACAGGCCACUAAGGCUAAUUUCAGUACCAGGCAAAUUGGGUAAAAUUAUAGUAAAGAGCACAAUUAUUAGACACAAAGAUAAACACAAUUUGUUGUGGAAGAGUGAACAUGGUUUUUGUAAAGGGAAAUCAUGCCUCACGAAUCUACUAGAAUUCUUUGCGGGAGUCAACAAGCAUGUGGAGAAAGGUCAUCCCGUGGAUAUCGUGUACUUAGAUUUUCAGAAAACCUUUGACA